AUGAAGGACCCCACAACCCCGGGCACGCGGAUUUGGGGUGGGUGGGCGACUCUGGGACCCGGGCGACUCAAUCCCGUCCUUUCUGUCUCCGCAGGGCUGCGGGCGGCCGUGCAACUGGUCGAGUCCGGAGGGGGGCCUCCAGACACCCGGGGGGUCCCUGCGCCUCCUCUGCAAGGGCUCCGGCUUCACCUUCAGCAGCAACGGCAUGAACUGGGUGCGACAGGCGCCCGGGAAGGGGCUCGAGUUCGUCGCGAGUAUUUACACCGAUGGUAGUGGCACCUACUACGCGCCGUCGGUCAAAGGACGCUUCACCAUCUCGAGGGACAACUCCCAGAGCACGGUCACGCUGCAGAUGAACAGCCUCAGGGCCGACGACACGGCCACCUACUACUGCGCGAAAUCUGCUGAUGGUGAUAGAGAUGCUGGCACCGUGUCCCAGCAUCCCUGCGCUGCGUCCCAGCAUCUCAGCAUCUUCCCAAAUCCCUUGCCCUGA